ensembl:lncRNA
UACCAUCAAACUCAGGGUUUAUUGUAAAACACACGGUAAUGGGGGGAGCAGGAAAAGGGGCUGAGCUGGACCCAAGGAAAGAAACAAUAAGCAUCCAAAACACCCCUAAGCUAGACUAGCCUAUUUUAACAACAGCUAACUAACCAAAAAUACAGUGGGUGGUCCGCCCAGUUCUAACUAGUGUUUUUAACAAAGUCUACCUACGGGUAGUGUAUGCCCAUAGGCGACUUGUCUUGGUUUCCCCUUUUCCCACCAGCAAUCAAACAAACACCAUAACCAAAAACAAUACUCACAGGAGAUGACAAAGUGAUUUGGAGGUGCUCAAACAAAAGAGAGAUUAAGACACAAAGAGAGAGUGAAACACAGAGAUCUACAUACAUGGCAUUUACAGAGAGAUUGAGCUCUAGAGCAAACAACUGAUGGGGUUUUUAAACCAAGGGAAAGGAACUGUGAUAGGGUAGGAAACAGGAGGAGGUGUGUCUUCUGAUUGAUGAUUGAUUGUUGACUGAUUGGGGAGUGAUGAUGUUCACCUGUGAGGGGAGAAGGAGAGAAAAGACACACACACAGGAUACACACACAGGAUACUUGUAUCCGUAACAAUGAGUCAACAUGUUUUUUCUACUUGCACGAACGUGCACACACACAGAAAUCAGAACCAUGGACAGCCACAUCAUAUUUAGCUUACGUUGAUUGGACUAAAUUGUUUUUGGUAUCUUUUUGUUGUCACAAUUAGACUUAUCAUAGGUGAUUUGAUGUUAAAAUGUUGAAGUUGAAAUGGUGCUGGAAUAGUGGUGGCAGCUCCUUCUGUUUUCUUUGCGACUUGCGGUAACUCUCCGUGGUUGUAAAUCAAUAGUUGUUUAGUGGUCGGAAAACAUUAACUUGAUGGACCAUGCUGUAGUGUUUUGUCACAUGAAAUAUGCUUUGUGGACUUCAGACAGAGGUUGCUCUCCGGUUUUGUGAUGAAACAAAGGUGUGGUUGAAUUUAUUCUGCCUCGGUCUUCUCAUUGUCUCGGCCUUUAGGCCUAUAUAUAUCACAGUCGCCAGGCAUAUGAACUAACAGGUUAUAGAGCAAACAACGCAAUUAUCACAACACAUAGGUUGUAAUAUGGCUUUUCUGACUUCCCCAGUGAUUUUACCCAGGCAACGUUACUGAAUAUACAAAAGGGGUAUUUAAUGUGGUUGUCUCGUGUGUGUUUGCACAUGGCAAGUAUUUGUAAAUUCACAGAACAGUACACAGUUAGUCACUCACCCUUUACCGUGGCAAAAUUGGUUUGACAUCGGAUAGCCUCUCUCUGGCUCUAGUUAGGGAUUGUCAAUGAAUUACAGAAAGUACUAAGAGGGCUGGGAAAGCAAUUAUUUUAGAUGGAAGCUAGGGAUCGGGCUGGGAGAUGCUACUUUUUCACCCUACAAAGAUGACAUAUCUGAUGAUGUUGCAUCAUACUGUCACCCUAACCCUGCAGCGCCACACUCCUAACCUUGGCCAAAGAGCCAACUGGCCUGAUCAUGACCUUCUCACCAUGACACUGCCCUUGCCCCCCAAUGUCCAUUCUUGGAAUUCAUAGAGACACAAAGGACUUUAGUCACCAACCCUUCAUAUCAAAGUCUGUGAGCUAAGAAUGUACCAGAAUGUAAAAUAACAAUUUCCAUAGGUUUCCUGAUACAUCCUCUAUACAGCAUUGUUUAGUCUCAUCUCUAAGGCUCUAUAAACCUGUCACACACAUGUACUGUCCUUUCACCUCUUUGUUUACUUUGUUGUUGUCAUGUCACCAGAGUUAGUUAGUCUGUCCCUUAACUGUCUAACUCCUAGAGAAAACAUUUCCCAAGGUGACACAUUUACCUACAGUAUAGUUUUAUAACAAUUCACCCCUUCAAGAGAAGGCCAACAACUGUGGAAUUGUUCUGGCACAAAGGUGGUUCAGGCUUGAUUGAAACACUCUUCCACUAACCCUUUCAGGUAUGACUGAAACUCCAUUCAUAUUUGUUGGUCACAUAUACACUACAUGACCAAAAGUAUCUAGACACCUGCAUGUCGAACAUCUCCUUCCAAAAUUAUGGGUAUUAAUAUGGUGUAGGUCCCCCCUUUGCUGCUAUAACAGCCUCCACUUUCUGGGAAGACUUUCCACUAGAUGUUGGAACAUUACUGCGGGGACUUGCUUCCAUUCAGCCACAAGAGAAUUAGUGAGGUCGGGCACUGAUGUGCGAUUAGGCCUGGCUCACAAAGGUGUUUGAUGGGGUUGAGGUCAGGGCUCUGUGCAGAACGGUCAAGUUCUUCUACACCGAUCUUGACAAACCAUUUCUGUAUGGAUCUCACUUUGUGCAUGGGGGCAUUGUCAUGCUGAAACAGGAAAGGGCCUUCCUCAAACUGUUGCCACAAAGUUGGAAGCACAGGAUUGUCUAGAAUGUCAUUGUAUGCUGUAGCGUUAAGAUAUCCCUUCACUGGAACUAAGGGGCCUAGCCGAACCAUGAAAAAAAACAACCGAGACCAUUAUUCCUCAUCCACCAAAUUUUACAGUUGGCACUAUGCAUUUGGACAGUUACUGUGCUCCUGGCAUCUGCCAAACCCAGAUUCAUCCGUCGGACUGCCAGAUGGUGAAGUGUGAUUCAACAUUCCAGAGAACACGUAUCUACUGCUCCAGUCCAAUGGCGGCGAGUCCAAUGGCGGCGAGCUUUUCACCACUCCAGCUGACGCUUGGGAUUGUACAUGGUGAUCUUAGGUUUGUGAUCUUAGGCUGCUCGGCCAUGGAAAUCCAUUUCAUGAAGUUCCUAAUGAACAGUUAUUGUGCUGACGUUGCUUCCAGAGGCAGUUUGGAACUCAGUAGGGAGUGUUGCAAACGAUGACAGAGGAUUUUUAAGCGCUUCAGCACUCGGCAGUCCCGUUCUGUGAGCCUGUGUGGCCUACCACUGUGGCUGAGUCGUUGUUGCUCCUAGACUUUUCCACUUCACAAUAACAGCACUUACAGUUGACCAGGGUAGCUGUAGCAGGGCAGACAUUUGGACUGACUUAUUGGAACAUCCUAUGACGGUGCCACGUUGAAUGUCACUGAGCUCUUCAAUAAGGCCAUUCUAUUGCCAAUGUUAGUCAAUGGAGAUUGCAUGGCUGUGUGCUCGAUUUUAUACACCUGUCAGCAACGGGUUUGGUUGAAAUAGCCAAAUCCACUAAUUUGAAGGGGUGUCCACAUACUUUUGUACAUAUAUUGUAGGUGUUUUUUGUGUCUCUUAUCUUGUGGGAGGUAUUGUAUACCUAAUAGUGAACAUGUCCAUGGUGGAUUGAGGUUGUCAUAGUGCAAACCCCAGCAAUCUAACAAUGAGUGUGAGUUAAAAAUAG